rnacentral:rRNA from 1 species
GAUGAACGCUGACAGAAUGCUUAACACAUGCAAGUCUUUGGCGAAUCUGUGCUUGCACAGGCUAGCCAAGGCGGACGGGUGAGUAACGCGUAAAGAACUUGCCCUGCAGACAGGGAUAACAGACGGAAACGACUGAUAACACCUGAUACAGUUGCCGGCACGCAUGUGCCUGGCAAUGAAAAGAGAUGCUGCAGGGGAGCUUUGCGUCCUAUUAGCUUGUUGGUGAGGUGACGGCUCACCAAGGCGAUGAUAGGUAGCCGGCCUGAGAGGGUGAACGGCCACAAGGGGACUGAGAUACGGCCCUUACUCCUACGGGAGGCGGCAGUGGGGAAUAUUGGACAAUGGGGGCAACCCUGAUCCAGCAAUUCUGUGUGCACGAAGAAGGUUUUCGGAUUGUAAAGUGCUUUCAGCAGGGAAGAAGAAAGUGACGGUACCUGCAGAAGAAGCGACGGCUAAAUACGUG